GGGUCAGUAGGUUGGUCGUGCCACCGGUACGUACUGGUCUCACUGAUUCCUCCUUCCUGAAGAACCGUAAUGCCAUUAAUUUGGUGUUGCGGGGAAACAGGACUGUUACUUUGAAAAAAUUAGAGUGUUUAAAGCAAGCUAACGCUUGAAUACAUUAGCAUGGAAUAAUGAAAUAGGACGAUCGAUCCUAUUUUGUUGGUUUCUGGGAUUGACGUA
rnacentral:rRNA from 1 species